GCAAACAGCCUUUGCGAAUCCACUACCCUUAAUUUCCCCACAAUCUAAACCGAAAGUAAUUUGGAUCAAACUAAGAAAACUGGGUGGCCUCCACAAGACACAACAAUGUGACAAUAAAUAAGUAAAUACGUAAAUAAGGCCAGAAACCAUGUGCGCUACGAAUGCAAACAAACCACCACCAAUAGCACGGCAAAGGAACUGAAUCUCCUAGGACUAACGCUUGACACUCGAUUUAUAAAAAAAAAAUAUAUAUAUAUUUAAAAUCAUUGUACAGUACGCUAAACAUAAUUUGAUGCCCAACAAGCGGAAAGUACAAUAGCCACACUCGUACCAAGAUUAAAAUGGUUAAAAGCCAACAUCGUACCUACCUACAUAAUACCAAAGACCCUAUUAUUCUAGUGUCUUUGAUAACACUAUGUAUGUAGUACAUAUACACGAAACUAAAUCACAAUUAGAACCCAUUAAAUCCUAACUGAACUCAGCCCCUCGGACAGUAUUAGGAGCAUUUUGCUCGACACCCAAACACAACCUUUAUCUAUACGCCAAUAUUAAAACAAUAGAAAACAGAAACACCACCCUUCCGCUCGGAACAGAUACUUCGCUUAGCCGAAUCAUACAAUGGAUAUCAAUAAAAAAAGGAAGAACGCUGUAGUUGGGUUUCUCGACUAGCUGAUACCCGUU
ensembl:ncRNA lncRNA:CR45673 long non-coding RNA:CR45673